UUUCGCAAUGCCCGAAAGGGUGACGAAGCGACGCCGCGUGUGGGAAGAAGGCCUUCGGGUUGUAAACCACUGUCGGGAGUUAGGAAAUGCAGGUGCGUUAAUAGCGCACUUGCUUGACUAAGGCUCCAGAGGAAGCCACGGCUAACUCUGUGCCAGCAGCCGCGGUAAUACAGAGGCGGCAAGCGUUGUUCGGAAUUAUUGGGCGUAAAGAGCACGUAGGCGGCCUUGCAAGUCAGUUGUGAAAGCCUUCCGCUUAACGGAAGAACGGCAUCUGAUACUACAGGGCUUGAGUACGGGAGGGGAGAGUGGAACUUCUGGUGGAGCGGUGAAAUGCGUAGAUAUCAGAAGGAACGCCGGCGGCGAAAGCGACUCUCUGGUCCGAAACUGACGCUGAGUGUGCGAAAGCUAGGGGAGCAAACGGGAUUAGAUAGCCCGGUAGUCCUAGCCGUAAACGAUGGGCACUAAGUAGAGGGGUUUU
rnacentral:rRNA from 1 species